GCAGCAGUGGCCUACUGGUUAGGGCUUCGGACUUGUAACCGGAGAGUUACCGGUUCGAACCCCGACCAGUA
rnacentral:tRNA from 1 species